rnacentral:misc_RNA from 1 species
GUUUCUGGUGUUUUGGCGGUGAUGACUUUAGGAAUGUUUUAUUCUGCAGCUGCUAGGACUGCUUUCAAGGGUGAUGGCCAACAGAGCUUGCAUCACUUUUGGGAAAUGGUUGCGUACAUUGCAAAUACAUUAAUUUUCAUCUUGAGUGGUGUUGUUAUAGCUGAAAGCGUUCUUAGCAGUGACAAUAUUUUUCAUAACCAUGGAAAUUCAUGGGGCUACCUAUUUCUUCUAUAUGUUUUUGUGCAAGUAUCCCGGUUUAUAGUUGUUGGAGUAUUGUAUCCAUUUUUACGAUAUUUUGGCUAUGGUUUAGAUUGGAAGGAAGCUGCUAUUCUCAUAUGGUCAGGUUUGCGCGGAGCUGUUGCACUAUCACUCUCACUAUCUGUUAAGCGCACUAGUGACAGCUCAACAUAUCUCACUCCGGAAACCGGAACUCUGUUUGUUUUCUU